GACUCGGUGAUGCGAUACUUCGUUGACUUCCCAAGCCAAAAACGAAGAGGCAGCGACGUUGGUCGACAUUUCCGAACAAGGGUUGCGUCCGCCACGAGAGGAGGAAACCGUACACAAGAACAGGGGCGCCAGGCCGGAGGUAGUAUUAGUUUCCAUUCUCUCUCGAUCGACCGGAUCGUGGAAUUUUUCUUUGGAUCGUGAUGUGCCGCAGCCGAGCAAAAGAACCGAACCGUGCAAGAAGGAGGCCUGCGACAUCCAAUCCUGCCUCACCAAGAACAACUUCAUCCCCCAGCGGACUUCUGAAAACUAAUUCAAACUGACAGCAUGAAAGUAUAUGCUUGUAGAAGUUGAUCAUCUCUUGGCAAUAACUUUCCAUGGCUGCAGGGAUUAUGUUGAGAGUGUAAAAUGUGGAAGUGGUGAAUGGCAGCACUCCACAAGUUCUUGGUCAUUUGAAAUCAGUCAAGUGCAGCACACAAAAUUUUACAUGUCACAACAUUUAUUUCCACAUCCUUCGGAGCAGCCAUGAUGUCCUGUAGAAACUUUGAACUUUCCUAGUGUGCCUGUCUUUGUAUCUGCCACACCCUGUAUUGGGGUUCCUCACAUUUGAAAUACUAGUCAACACCACAGGUUGCCUUCUGGAAAUUCUUAAUCAAUGCUAUGUACAUGAUUACUUUGAGAUGUAAGUAUAUAUUUUUGUACAUGCUUUUAUCACAAAAAAUUGUUUAUCUG